rnacentral:misc_RNA from 1 species
GUAUUGUAUUGCGUUAGACGCGACAUACAUUCCAUGAUACUUUGUUACGGUGUGUGUGUAAAGACGUAGGACCACAGCAAGAGGACAGGGUCCCCAGGCCAUAGAACUACAAGGGUGCACAGGUGUGAGUGGAUGUGUAAACAGAGUGUGCACGUGUCCCCUUUCGAGGACCAGCAACAACUCGUGUCGACAGUUCGGUAAUGAUCCUUCCGCAGGUUCACCUACGGAAA